rnacentral:rRNA from 1 species
GACGGAAGGUGCAAGCGUUGCUCGGAAUCACUGGGCGUAAAGGGUGCGUAGGCGGCCGUGCAAGUCUGGCGUGAAAUCCCUCGGCUCAACCGGGGAACUGCGUCUGAUACUGAAGAUCUUGAGUUCGGGAGAGGUGAGUGGAACUGCGAGUGUAGAGGUGAAAUUCGUAGAUAUUCGCAAGAACACCAGUGGCGAAGGCGGCUCACUGGCCCGAUACUGACGCUGAGGCACGAAAGCGUGGGGAGCAAACAGG